ACUCUGUUAGAGGAAGGGACACUGCCUCAUUACUGCCAGGUGGAGGGACAAGUUCAGACUCUCCAAAAGGUCUGCAUGAACACCAUGGCAGGGGUGGCUUUUAUUCUGGCUGAUAGGGUAAACGUCCUUGCUCCUGCCUUGCCUUCCUUGACAUACCUUUGUUAUAUCCUUCUGUGUGUGGAAGCCUAGACUCCCCAUUUGGCCUUUGCUGGUGGAUGUGGAGGGGAAGAAACACAGGAGCAGAAGAUGGCUUUGUGAGCCUGGAGUCAGAACAAAUGAUUUGAAUUAUGUAAUUUAAUUACUGAACAAAAUCAGGUUACACCAGUCUAAGUCCAUCCUUUCUAUAUAUGUACACCUGCAAGGUGUAAAAAACAAAACAGGCAUAGAGCCAGAAGAGCAAAGAAAGCAGCAAAGAGGUCCAUCCACUUAUGAGAGAACUGAAUAAAUAGCCAGAAGAUGGAAAACAAGGGAAAUAAAUGAUGACAAAGUAGAGAAAGAGACAGACCAACUACACGAAGAAGUUUGCUUCCAAGGAAAUCCUUCUCCAGUGACCAGAGGAAUGACCAGCUCCCCACCUUCUCACUGUCCAGCAGUCCCUGCUAACCCACAGGAAGAGGGAGAGAUACCAGGAGCACACACACAGAGAGAGAACACCACUUGAGGACACAGUUGAGACGAUGACCCUCUGCAAGCCAAGAAGAGAGGCCUCCCCAGAAACCAAACCUGCUGACACCUUGAUCUUGGACUUCCAGCCUCCAGAACUGUGAGAAAAUAAGUUUCUAGGUUUAAAUGACUCGUCUAUGGGGCUUUGUUCAUGGCAGUCUGAGUUGACUAAUGCAUACGCUAACCAUUUCAUGUACUUAUUUUGCAUACUGCCUGUCUUCCUUUUAGAAUGUAAACUUCACCUGGAGAGGAAUUUUUAUCUGUUUUUUUCACCACUGGAAUUCUUAGUACUGAUAAGGUGCCUUAGCUGUAGUAAGAAUCAAGUACUACUUAUUGAAUGAAUAAACAAAUAGGUGAGAAAACAGUCCUGGUUUACACUGCUUUCUUUUUAUCUCUGUGGUAGACUAAUUGCAAAAAUGGCUCUAACUGUUCAUUGCUCUUUUACAUGCCCUUUGCCAUGUGUCUUUGCAGCUCUUCCUAUACAAAGGUAGAAUCUGUUUUUUUUUUUUUUUUUUUUUUUUUGAGAUGGAGUUUCACUGUUGUCACCUAGGCUGGAGUGUAGUGGUGCCAUCUUGACUCACUGCAACCUCCGCAUCCCGGAUUCAAGAGAUUCUCAUGCCUCAGCCUCCCGAGUAGCUGGGAUUACAGGCGCCUGCCACUAUGCCCAGCUAAUUUUUGUAUUUUUAGUAGAGAGAUGAGGUUUUGCCAUGUUGGCCAGGCUGGUCUCGAACUCCUGAUUUCAGGUGAUCCACCUACCUCAGCCUCCCAAUGUGCUGAGAUUUCAGGCGUGAGUCACCAUGCCCAGCCCAAAAAUAGAAUCUUUAUCCUCUUCCUUUGAAUGUGAUUUGGCUUUUUGACUCACCUUUGCCAAUAAAAUAUUGCAGAAGUAUCAGUGUGUCAGUUCCAGACCUAGGUGUCCAGAGGCCUUACCUGCUUCCAUUCUCCUUCUUAGAACUCUUUGUCAUAAAAGCAAUCCUAGGCUAGCCUAUAGAAAGACAAAUGACCAUGUGAAAAAGAGAGAAAUUAUCCUAGCUAAGAUAAUUCUAAACCAGUCAGCCUCCCUGCUAGUUGACCACAGACAUACAAUGAGACAGGAUUACCUUAGCCAACUUUAGCCAAGACCAGUAAAGCUGCCUAGCUGACCCACAGAUUGGCGGGCAACAAUACAUAUUUAUUAUUUUAAGCCAGCAAGGUUUUGCAGUUUUAGCUAUUACAGCAUUAUAGCAGCAAUAGAUAAUUGUAUCUGACAGUGGUCCCAAAAAGUAUUUUGUGUUUCAGAGAUGUCUCUUCUCUUUAAGUGGCAGACUAACUUAAAAGAAAGCUUAUGGGCUCUGGAACCAGAUUGAAUUGGGUUCAAAUCCUAGCUGCAAUCACUUACCAUAUGACCUAGUGCAAGUUACUUAACCUUUUGACCUUCGCAUUAUUUGUAAACUAAAGAUAGAAAUACUUGCUCAGAGCUUUUGUGAGACUUAAAAGAACUCUCAUGUGAAGUACCUGAUACAACUACUGAUAUUGAUCUAAAAAACAUCACAAAUUUUCCCUUAUAACUACUCUGUGGCUGAAUCAUCAAUAGAUUAAUCUAAAUGCCUGUAGAAAGUCUACUUUUUGUCUUAUUAGACAGAAAUUAUUAGGCAUCAGCCUGGUAUACUUGCUAUUGACUCUUCAAAGCUGUACUUUCUUUUAGUCAUUCUAACUGACAGUUUUCAACUUUAAGGGAUGGCCUUAAAGCCGAUAAAGUCCAGGUUUUAGUGACUUGAUUUAUUUCUACUGUAUUUGUACCCUUCAUGAUGUCAUUGAGUUAGGCCAGAAGGCUUCUCAGUUUUCUAUAUUUGAACAAAAGAGGCCUAAUUUCCAAACAUCAACAUAGAGGAAAGUGAAUGCUCUUGAUUCAGUGCCAUAUACCUGGAAAAUAACUGAGGUAUUCCCAGCAGCUGCUGGUAGCCUCCGAUAAGUCCAAGUGAAAUAUGGGCAUCUAAAUGCAAAGACAGAGGCCCUGUCCAUUCAAAGUCCCACAAAUCAGCCUGUAAAUAUGUAGGCAGCUAUGUGUUUGAAUAUUUAUUCUUGUAUUUUAUGCAGCUUCUUCAAUAAGAAUUAGAGAAGCAGGUUAAAUUUGAUGCAAUGUCUUAGGCAUUAGAUUCAAUUUAGAGAAAUACAUGCUAAAGAGAAAUAAGGUUUUUUUAAAAAAAUUUACUUUAUUUUUUAACAGGAAAUUAGCUUAAGCACUGCUUUCAGGUAAAACCAUUCUAUAACUGACAUCAUUUUUAAGUGCUCUAUAUUGAUUAAACACUUUAGCUAGAUUUGUAAGUCUGAUCAGAAAAUAUGAGUUGUAAAUCACGAUGUGAUUUUUCCUUUGAUCCCAUUUAAACAUUUUCUCCUUUGGAUCACAUGAUAACUUCUGAUAAAAUUCUGGAAACUAAAAUCCAUUUAAUUGGUAAUGAUGUUUCUUGUGAAAACGCUUAACACACAAUUUUGUUAAAAUGCAGGAACAUGAAUGUAUUGGUAUCUGCUUUUCUCAAGAAUAAAAUUGAUUUCUUCAUACUAAUCAUCUCUUCAAUAAACUGUCCCUCUUCUAGUCAAGUCAUUAAAAUGAUUC
rnacentral:lncRNA from 1 species